rnacentral:rRNA from 3 species
AAAUUGAAGAGUUUGAUCAUGGCUCAGAUUGAACGCUGGCGGCAGGCCUAACACAUGCAAGUCGAACGGUAACAGGAAGCAGCUUGCUGCUUCGCUGACGAGUGGCGGACGGGUGAGUAAUGUCUGGGAAACUGCCUGAUGGAGGGGGAUAACUACUGGAAACGGUGGCUAAUACCGCAUAACGUCGCAAGACCAAAGAGGGGGACCUUCGGGCCUCUUGCCAUCAGAUGUGCCCAGAUGGGAUUAGCUAGUUGGUGAGGUAACGGCUCACCAAGGCGACGAUCCCUAGCUGGUCUGAGAGGAUGACCAGCCACACUGGAACUGAGACACGGUCCAGACUCCUACGGGAGGCAGCAGUGGGGAAUAUUGCACAAUGGGCGCAAGCCUGAUGCAGCCAUGCCGCGUGUAUGAAGAAGGCCUUCGGGUUGUAAAGUACUUUCAGCGGGGAGGAAGGUGUUGUGGUUAAUAACCGCAGCAAUUGACGUUACCCGCAGAAGAAGCACCGGCUAACUCCGUGCCAGCAGCCGCGGUAAUACGGAGGGUGCAAGCGUUAAUCGGAAUUACUGGGCGUAAAGCGCACGCAGGCGGUCUGUCAAGUCGGAUGUGAAAUCCCCGGGCUCAACCUGGGAACUGCAUUCGAAACUGGCAGGCUUGAGUCUUGUAGAGGGGGGUAGAAUUCCAGGUGUAGCGGUGAAAUGCGUAGAGAUCUGGAGGAAUACCGGUGGCGAAGGCGGCCCCCUGGACAAAGACUGACGCUCAGGUGCGAAAGCGUGGGGAGCAAACAGGAUUAGAUACCCUGGUAGUCCACGCCGUAAACGAUGUCUACUUGGAGGUUGUGCCCUUGAGGCGUGGCUUCCGGAGCUAACGCGUUAAGUAGACCGCCUGGGGAGUACGGCCGCAAGGUUAAAACUCAAAUGAAUUGACGGGGGCCCGCACAAGCGGUGGAGCAUGUGGUUUAAUUCGAUGCAACGCGAAGAACCUUACCUGGUCUUGACAUCCACAGAAGAAUCCAGAGAUGGAUUGGUGCCUUCGGGAACUGUGAGACAGGUGCUGCAUGGCUGUCGUCAGCUCGUGUUGUGAAAUGUUGGGUUAAGUCCCGCAACGAGCGCAACCCUUAUCCUUUGUUGCCAGCGAUUAGGUCGGGAACUCAAAGGAGACUGCCAGUGAUAAACUGGAGGAAGGUGGGGAUGACGUCAAGUCAUCAUGGCCCUUACGACCAGGGCUACACACGUGCUACAAUGGCGCAUACAAAGAGAAGCGACCUCGCGAGAGCAAGCGGACCUCAUAAAGUGCGUCGUAGUCCGGAUUGGAGUCUGCAACUCGACUCCAUGAAGUCGGAAUCGCUAGUAAUCGUGGAUCAGAAUGCCACGGUGAAUACGUUCCCGGGCCUUGUACACACCGCCCGUCACACCAUGGGAGUGGGUUGCAAAAGAAGUAGGUAGCUUAACCUUCGGGAGGGCGCUUACCACUUUGUGAUUCAUGACUGGGGUGAAGUCGUAACAAGGUAACCGUAGGGGAACCUGCGGUUGGAUCACCUCCUUACCUUAAAGAAGC